GACAGCAGUAAUCUGGAAGCAGAAGUGUCCAGUUCUCAUCCCUGGAAGAUGAUGCCAGGAAUGCCCAAAGCCAGGUGCAGAGCAGGACAGUUUAAAUCAAGAAAUCCCUCCCCUUUCUUGGCUUGGAGCUGCCUGUGUCAGUCUUCAGUUUUCAAGGGGAGGAAAAACCCAGCCUGGAAGGAAGAGGCUGCACCCUGAACAUCUCCAGAGCCAGGGGCCAGUGCUGUGUGUGAAGCACCAUCCUCAGUGUCUGAAGAGGGCACAGGGACACUCUCACCACUAAUAAAGGGCUCUCCGAAGCCUCUCCAGCACAGCUGAAGUGCAAAAAUUACUUGAAGUGCUCACAAGCUCCUCUGAUGGGGCUCAGCUGAGACCAAGAGCUCCUGGUUUCUCCACAGUGGGAGGGGGUUGUUCGCCCUCACCACUUUUAAUGACUUCAGAGUAAAAGGAAAGUUGU